rnacentral:misc_RNA from 1 species
GAUGAAGAACGCAGCAAAAUGCGAUAAGUAAUGUGAAUUGCAGAAUUCAGUGAAUCAUCGAAUCUUUGAACGCACAUUGCGCCCGCUGGUAUUCCGGCGGGCAUGCCUGUUCGAGCGUCAUUUCAACCCUCAAGCCCCCGGGUUUGGUGUUGGGGAUCGGCUCUGCCCUUCUGGGCGGUGCCGCCCCCGAAAUACAUUGGCGGUCUCGCUGCAGCCUCCAUUGCGUAGUAGCUAACACCUCGCAACUGAACGCGGCGCGGCCAUGCCGUAAAACCCCAACUUCUGAAUGUUGACCUCAGAUCAGGUAGGAAUACCCGCUGAACUUAAGCAUAUCAAUAAGCGGAGGA